rnacentral:antisense_RNA from 1 species
AGCAGUGCGGACGGAGGCGUGGCACGGGGAGGAGGCGUGGAAGGGGAGCCCGUUAACAGGUUUAAAAGGGAGUUUCAUUAAUAUAAAAGAUCAAGGUUGUGACUGGCAUAUACAACGGAAAAGGAAGAAGGGCAAGUGUUUUACGAUAACUUGCAGCACCAAUGAGGCAUCUGAAGAUGAUUCACUUAGCCUCAGUGAAAGUCUAGAGAGCCUAGCAUCACAGUCCCAAUUCAGCACCCCAAUCUCUAACUGACUUACAAUUACCCCUGGAUCUCAAGGAAGAUUUAUGUAUAUAUGUUUCCUUUUACCUAUUCCUAUGUCUUAUAGGUUGAAUGUAUGUAUGCAUAUGGAUUUGAGGAUUACAGAGUAUUUUAAAAGUC